rnacentral:rRNA from 1 species
CCUACGGGGGGCAGCAGUGAGGAAUAGUGGUCAAUGGCCGUAAGGCUGAACCAGCCAAGUCGCGUGAAGGAAGAAGGAGCUAUGGUUUGUAAACUUCUGUUAUAGGGGAAUAAAGGUAUCCACGUGUGGAUAUUUGCAUGUACCCUAUGAAUAAGCAUCGGCUAACUCCGUGCCAGCAGCCGCGGUAAUACGGAGGAGGCGAGCGUUCUCCGGAUUUAUUGGGUUUAAAGGGUGCGUAGGUUGUUUUUUAAGUCAGCGGUGAAAGUUUGUGGCUCAACCAUAAAAUGGCCGUUGAAACUGGCAGCCUUGAGUGUGUUUGAGGUAGGCGGACUGCGUGGUGUAGCGG